GACGAACCGAGCGAACGUUGUUCGGAAUCACUGGGCUUAAAGGGCGCGUAGGCGGGCGGCCGCGUCCGGGGUGAAAUCCUCCCGCCCAACGGGAGAACGGCCUCGGAUACGGGCGGCCUCGAGGGGGGUAGGGGCGUGCGGAACUGUGGGUGGAGCGGUGAAAUGCGUUGAGAUCCACAGGAACUCCGGUGGCGAAGGCGGCACGCUGGACCCCUCCUGACGCUGAGGCGCGAAAGCUAGGGGAGCAAACGGGG
rnacentral:rRNA from 1 species